rnacentral:tRNA from 1 species
UUGUAAUAUAGUGGUGAGUACUCCCGCCUGUCAAGCGGGUGACCCAGGUUCGAUCCCCGGCAA